rnacentral:rRNA from 1 species
UACGAAGGGGGCUAGCGUUGCUCGGAAUCACUGGGCGUAAAGGGUGCGUAGGCGGGUCUUUAAGUCAGGGGUGAAAUCCUGGAGCUCAACUCCAGAACUGCCUUUGAUACUGAAGAUCUUGAGUUCGGGAGAGGUGAGUGGAACUGCGAGUGUAGAGGUGAAAUUCGUAGAUAUUCGCAAGAACACCAGUGGCGAAGGCGGCUCACUGGCCCGAUACUGACGCUGAGGCACGAAAGCGUGGGGGAGCAAACGGGG